AUUGAACGCUGGCGGCAGGCCUAACACAUGCAAGUCGAACGAGUGGCGGACGGGUGAGUACUGUGUGGGUAACUGCCCGUUGGAGGGGGAUAACGACUGGAACAGGUAGCUAAAACCGCAUACCAUCGGGUGUGCCCCGAUGGGGUUCGCUAGUAGGUGGGGUAACGGCUCACCUAGGCGACGCGCCCUAGCUGGUCUGAGAGGAUGACCAGCCACACUGGAACUGAGACACGGUCCAGACUCCUACGGGAGGCAGCAGUGGGGAAUAUUGCACAAUGGGCGCAAGCCUGAUGCAGCCAUGCCGCGUGUAUGAAGAAGGCCUUCGGGUUGUAAAGUACUUUCAGCGAGGAGGCGUUACUCGCAGAAGAAGCACCGGCUAACUCCGUGCCAGCAGCCGCGGUAAUUC
rnacentral:rRNA from 1 species